CCCUUAGAUGUUCUGGGCCGCACGCGUGCUACACUGACCGGCGCAACAAGUUUCUUUCCUUGGCUCGAUAGGCCUGGGUAAUCUUUGAACGCCGGUCGUGAUGGGGAUAGAUCCUUGCAAUUUUGAUCUUCAACGAGGAAUUCCUAGUAAAUGCGAGUCAUCAUCUCGCGUUGAUUACGUCCCUGCCCUUUGUACACACCGCCCGUCGCACCUACCGAUUGAAUGGUCCGGUGAAGCGUUCGGACCGUGGCCUUUGGACGGUUCGCCGUCUGUUGGCUGCGGGAAGUUCGUUAAACCUUAUCAUUUAGAGGAAGGAGAAGUCGUAACA
rnacentral:rRNA from 1 species